GACAGCCAGGAUGUUGGCUUAGAAGCAGCCAUCAUUUAAAGAAAGCGUAAUAGCUCACUGGUCGAGUCGGCCUGCGCGGAAGAUGUAACGGGGCUAAACCAUGCACCGAAGCUGCGGCAGCGACACUGUGUGUUGUUGGGUAGGGGAGCGUUCUGUAAGCCUGUGAAGGUGUACUGUGAGGUAUGCUGGAGGUAUCAGAAGUGCGAAUGCUGACAUAAGUAACGAUAAAGCGGGUGAAAAGCCCGCUCGCCGGAAGACCAAGGGUUCCUGUCCAACGUUAAUCGGGGCAGGGUGAGUCGA
rnacentral:rRNA from 1 species